rnacentral:rRNA from 1 species
AGAUUGAACGCUGGCGGCAGGCCUAACACAUGCAAGUCGAGCGGUAGAGAGGUGCUUGCAUCUCUUGGGAGCGGCGGACGGGUGAGUAAUGCCUAGGAAUCUGCCUAGUGGUGGGGGAUAACGUUCGGAAACGGACGCUAAUACCGCAUACGUCCUACGGGAGAAAGCGGGGGACCUUCGGGCCUCGCGCCAUUAGAUGAGCCUAGGUCGGAUUAGCUAGUUGGUGAGGUAAUGGCUCACCAAGGCGACGAUCCGUAACUGGUCUGAGAGGAUGAUCAGUCACACUGGAACUGAGACACGGUCCAGACUCCUACGGGAGGCAGCAGUGGGAAUAUUGGACAA